rnacentral:rRNA from 1 species
UGGGGAAUUUUGGACAAUGGGCGCAAGCCUGAUCCAGCCAUGCCGCGUGCGGGAAGAAGGCCUUCGGGUUGUAAACCGCUUUUGUCAGGGAAGAAAUCUUCUGAGUUAAUACCUCGGGAGGAUGACGGUACCUGAAGAAUAAGCACCGGCUAACUACGUGCCAGCAGCCGCGGUAAUACGUAGGGUGCAAGCGUUAAUCGGAAUUACUGGGCGUAAAGCGUGCGCAGGCGGUUUUGUAAGACAGAGGUGAAAUCCCCGGGCUCAACCUGGGAACUGCCUUUGUGACUGCAAGGCUUGAGUGCGGCAGAGGGGGAUGGAAUUCCGCGUGUAGCAGUGAAAUGCGUAGAUAUGCGGAGGAACACCGAUGGCGGAAGGCAAUCCCCUGGGCCUGCACUGACGCUCAUGCACGAAAGCGUGGGGAGCAAACAGGAUUAGAUACCCCUGGUAGUCCACGCCCUAAACGAUGUCAACUGGUUGUUGGGAAGGUUCCUUCUCAGUAACGUAGCUAACGCGUGAAGUUGACCGCCUGGGGAGUACGGCCGUAAGGUUGAAACUUAAAUGAAUUGACGGGGUCAUAGCUG